rnacentral:rRNA from 1 species
AACGAACGCUGGCGGCGCGCCUAAUACAUGCAAGUCGAGCGAGAAGACGUAGCAAUACGUUUGUAAAGCGGCGAACGGGUGAGGAAUACAUGGGUAACCUACCCUCGAGUGGGGAAUAACUAGCCGAAAGGUUAGCUAAUACCGCGUACGCUCCUUGGACUUCGGUUCAGGGAGGAAAGCGAUACCGUGGGUAUCGCGCUCUUGGAUGGGCUCAUGUCCUAUCAGCUUGUUGGUGAGGAACGGCUCACCAAGGCUUCGACGGGUAGCUGGUCUGAGAGGACGGCCAGCCACACUGGGACUGAGACACGGCCCAGACUCCUACGGGAGGCAGCAGUGGGGAAUAUUGGACAAUGGGGGAAACCCUGAUCCAGCGACGCCGCGUGUGUGAAGAAGGCCUGCGGGUUGUAAAA